rnacentral:rRNA from 1 species
AUGCAAUACCCAUACAAAUUUCUAUGGAAAGUGAAAAUGCCCCCUAGGGUUAAAGUUUUUAUAUGGCUACUACUGAGGAAAAGUAUUCUUACCAAACAAAACUUGAAGAAAAGAGGAUGGCAGGGAGAUACACAAUGCUCCUUUUGCGGGAGAGAGGAAGACAUUGAACAUCUAUUUGUACAUUGUUCGGUGGCCAAAAUGCUAUGGAUGGUUAUGAAAUGCUCCUUUAAUAUACAUGAUGUUCCAGAUAAAGUUAAUGACAUAUUUGGCAGGUGGCUAUCUAAAUUUGAGAAGAAUGAUAAGAACCUCAUGACCGUUAGUAUUUCGGCAAUGCUUUGGACGAUGUGGAAACUGAGAAACAUAAUAGUCUUUGAUAAUCACAGGGUUACUGAUCCCUGUGUUCCUGUAAAUCUGAUUAUUAAGAACUUACAUGAAUGGUGUGUGUUGCAGAAAAACCAAGAAAGAAUAGAUCGCAUGAAGGAGGGCGUAAAUCAAGUUGAGCGGGUGGCCACGGAGUUCUUCAAGGCGACGCGUGGAUGGGCGACUGGAGUUCCAAGACUUGGAGGCUCUUGA